GCGCAGCAGGCGCGAAACUUUACAAUGUGCGAAGCACGAUAAGGGAACUCUGAGUGCCUCCUAAGGAGGCUGUUCAGGUGUCUAAAAGCACCUGAAGGAAGGGCUGGGUAAGACCGGUGCCAGCCGCCGCGGUAACACCGGCAGCCCAAGUGGUAGCCACGUUUAUUGGGUCUAAAGCGUCCGUAGCCGGCUGGGUAAGUUCCUUGGGAAAUUUGGCUGCUUAACAGUCAAGCUUUCAGGGAAUACUGCCCGGCUUGGGACCGGGAGAGGUCAGAGGUACUCCAGGGGUAGGGUGAAAUCCAUUAAUCCUUGGGGGACCACCGGUAGCGAAGGCGUCUGA
rnacentral:rRNA from 1 species